UAGAGUUUGAUCAUGRCUCAGAAUCAACGCUGGCGGCGUGCCUAACACAUGCAAGUCGAACGAGAAAGGGGAGCAAUCCCUGAGUACAGUGGCGACCGGGUGAGUAACACGUGACUAACCUACCCUCGAGUGUGGAAUAACAUCGGGAAACCGAUGCUAAUACCGCAUAAUAUYGCAAGAUCAAAGGAGCAAUCCGCUUGAGGAGGGGGUCGCGGCUGAUUAGCUAGUUGGCGGGGUAACGGCCCACCAAGGCGAAGAUCGGUAUCCGGCCUGAGAGGGCGCACGGACACACUGGAACUGAAACACGGUCCAGACUCCUACGGGAGGCAGCAGUGGGGRAWUUUKGSSCAAUGGGGGAAACCCUGACGCAGCAACGCCGCGUGGAGGAUGAAGCCCCUUGGGGCGUAAACUCCUUUCGACCRAGACGAUAAUGACGGUACUGGUGGAAGAAGCACCGGCUAACUCUGUGCCAGCCGCCGCGGKAAUUC
rnacentral:rRNA from 1 species